rnacentral:rRNA from 1 species
ACCUCCCACCCGUGUUUACUGUACCUUAGUUGCUUCGGCGGGCCCGCCAUUCAUGGCCGCCGGGGGCUCUCAGCCCCGGGCCCGCGCCCGCCGGAGACACCACGAACUCUGUCUGAUCUAGUGAAGUCUGAGUUGAUUGUAUCGCAAUCAGUUAAAACUUUCAACAAUGGAUCUCUUGGUUCCGGCAUCGAUGAAGAACGCAGCGAAAUGCGAUAACUAGUGUGAAUUGCAGAAUUCCGUGAAUCAUCGAGUCUUUGAACGCACAUUGCGCCCCCUGGUAUUCCGGGGGGCAUGCCUGUCCGAGCGUCAUUGCUGCCCAUCAAGCACGGCUUGUGUGUUGGGUCGUCGUCCCCUCUCCGGGGGGGACGGGCCCCAAAGGCAGCGGCGGCACCGCGUCCGAUCCUCGAGCGUAUGGGGCUUUGUCACCCGCUCUGUAGGCCCGGCCGGCGCUUGCCGAACGCAAAUCAAUCUUUUUCCAGGUUGACCUCGGAUCAGGUAGGGAUACCCGCUGAACUUAAGCAUAUC